rnacentral:tRNA from 1 species
GACAGUUUAGCUUAAAGGUAAAGCACUUGACCAAAGUCUUCAAGAGAUGUGUGUUCGAGUCCCAUGGUUGUUU